AGUAAGUGAGGGUAAAUUGGUCUUUAUGCACAAAGGUAGGUGAGUGCUGAAAAAAAAGGAGGGAACCUGUGGGGCGGUAAAUAAGGAGAUAUCGUGGUGACAAAUAUCGUCACUAAUACUCAUUUUUCGGCGGCGACUCCUAUAUGUCGCCGCCAAUAAUCCCGUAUCGGUGGCGACUCUUAUAUGUCGCCGCCAAUAAUCCCGUAUCGGCGACAACUCCUAUAUGUCGCCGCCAAUAAUCCCGUAACGGCGACGACUCCUAUAUGUCGCCGUCAUAUUUAAUACAUUGGUGACGACAGUACUUGUCGCCACCAAAAAGUCGCCAUUAAAAAGCAUUUUUGUUGUAGUGCCGCUAUAC
rnacentral:lncRNA from 1 species